rnacentral:lncRNA from 1 species
GAGGCGACCAGUUUCUGAUGUCAACACCAUUGCUUACCUUUGAGGUCUCUUUAAUGUAUUGUCUUGUUAUUUUGGCCAGUGGGAAUCACUGCUGCUGGCGAAAGCAUGGGGCUUCCUGGAGGAGGAGUCCUGGUGACGCACAGACUGUCUGAAAUGGUCUGAAAAUGAGCAGAAGUUAGGCCGAUGUACUACUUUAGACUGAGGAAGCGAGAUGAAUAGCCAAUUGUUUUCUGCAUGGAGUUUAAAGAUGUAAAUAAAUCUUGCUGCUGAUUGAAAAAGAGAACAACUAUUGUGACCGUCCUCAAAAGGAGUCAGAUUACUGCCCAGUCUAAAGCAGCCACAUUCUGACAAGCCCUGUCUGCUGAGGCAGCUCUUCAGAUGUCUGGGGAAUGGAGACUGAUGGUCCCAGCAGGGGAGAGACUGUGUUGACUUCGGAUGUCUCCAGAAACAGAGAUGUCAUGGUUUGGAUUGGAUGGAUGUCAUGCACAGUUUCAAAGGAACAGCGCCAGUGUCUCCAUGCUGAAAACUCUGAAAUGGUGACGAGAAGCCCAGGCUCUUCUCAGAUGGUUUGUCACAGAGCAGGGAAGCGGACACAGCACCAACGAUGACAGGGUGAAGCUUCCAGACUGUGAAAUGUCUCGAAGAAAACCUUUUGCACCUGCAGAGCAGACAGUGGUGUGGAUCACAGCAGUAUUCCCUCCCCAGGGGUUUAUACUCUGGAGUUCCACUGACCCAUGCUCCAUUGUGAUCUGUAAAUGUUAAAUGGAAAAAUAGAAAAUUCAUAAGUUUU